GAUGAACGCUGGCGGCGUGCCUAAUACAUGCAAGUCGAGCGAACGGACGAGAAGCUUGCUUCUCUGAUGUUAGCGGCGGACGGGUGAGUAACACGUGGAUAACCUACCUAUAAGACUGGGAUAACUUCGGGAAACCGGAGCUAAUACCGGAUAAUAUUUUGAACCGCAUGGUUCAAAAGUGAAAGACGGUCUUGCUGUCACUUAUAGAUGGAUCCGCGCUGCAUUAGCUAGUUGGUAAGGUAACGGCUUACCAAGGCAACGAUGCAUAGCCGACCUGAGAGGGGGAUCGGCCACACUGGAACGGAGACACGGUCCAGACUCCUACGGGAGGCAGCAGUAGGGAAUCGUCCGCAAUGGGCGAAAGCCUGACGGAGCAACGCCGCGUGAGUGAUGAAGGUCUUCGGAUCGUAAAACUCUGUUAUUAGGGAAGAACAUAUGUGUAAGUAACUGUGCACAUCUUGACGGUACCUAAUCAGAAAGCCACGGCUAACUACGUG
rnacentral:rRNA from 1 species